rnacentral:rRNA from 1 species
GGAAGGCGGCAGGCUACGCUGCGAGUCGAGCGGUAGCACAGGGCACUUUGCCCUCAGGGUGACGAGCUGUGGACGGGUGAAUUUGUGUGGGACUCUGUGUGAUGGAGGGAGAUAACUACUGGAAAGGGUAUCUAAUACCGCAAAACGUCACGAGACCAAAGAGGGGGAUCUUCGGGCCUCUUGCCCUCAUAUGUGCCCAUAUGGGAUUAUCUAAUAGGUGGGGUAACGGCUCCCCUGCGACAAUAUCCCUAUGUGGUCAGGUAGAAGAUAGCACCCCCACAGUGGAACUGACACACGGUCCACAUCUCCUACGGGAGGCAGCAGUGGGGAAUAUUGCACAGUGGGCACACGCCUGAUGCACCAGUGCCGCGUGUAUGAAAAAGCUAUUCGGUGUGUAAAGUACUUUCAGCGGGGAAGAGCGUGUUGAGGUUAAUAACCUCAGCAUUUGACGUUCCCCGCAAAAGACGCACCGGCUAUCUCCGUGCCCACCACCGCGGUAAUACGGAGUGGGCACGCGUAUCUCAGAAUUACUGGGCGUAAAGCGCACGCAGCGCUGUCUGUCAAGUCAGAUGUGAAAUCCCCGGGCUCACUCUGAAAACUGCAUUCGAAAUCUGGCACGCUAGACUCGUGUAGAGGGAGGUAGAAUUCCAGUGUGUAGCGGUGAAAUGCAUAGAGAUCUGGAAGAAUACCGGUGGCGAAGCGCGCCCCCGUUGCACAAACACUGACGCUCAGUGUGAGAAAGCGUGGGGGAGCAAACAGAUAUUAGAUACCUGUGAUACUCCACGCCAUAAACGAUGUACGACGUGGGAUGGUUGUUCCCUUGAGGAGAGUGCUCUCCGGAGCUAACGCGAUAACUACGACCCGCCUGGGAGAGUACGCCCGCAAGGUUAAAACUCAAAUGAAUUGACGGGGCCCCCGCACAAGCGGUGGAGCAUGUGGUUAUAAUUCGAUGCAACGCGAAGAACUCUUACCCUACUCGUGGACAUCCAGAGAACUUAGCAGAUGAUGCUUUGGGUGCCUUCGGGAACCUCUGAAACAGGUGCUGCAUGGCUGUCGUCAGUCUCGUGUUGGGAAAUGUUGGGUUAAGUCCCGCAACGAGCGCAACCCUUUACUCCUUUGUUGCCAGCGGUCCGGCCGGGAACUCAAAGGAGACUCGCCAGUGAUAAACUGGAGGAAGGUGGGGAUGACGUCAAGUCCAUCAUGGCCCUUACGAGUAGGGCUACACACGUGUCUACAAUGGCGCAUACAAAGAGAAGCGACCUCGCGAGAGCAAGCGGACCUCAUAAAGUGCGUCGUAGUCCGGAUUGGAGUCUGCAACUCGACUCCAUGAAGUCGGAAUCGCUAGUAAUCGUAGAUCAGAAUGCUACGGUGAAUACGUUCCCGGGCCUUGUACACACCGCCCGUCACACCAUGGGAGUGGGUUGCAAAAGAAGUAGGUAGCUUAACCUCGGGAGGGCGCUUUCCACUUUGGAUUCAUUUU